rnacentral:ncRNA from 1 species
CAAAUAUCUCCGAGCUCUUAAACCUAAAAAGCUGUGAAAUACAGGAGCCUCUCUGACUGCGUGUCAUUUUUCCGGCUUCAUGGUUUAUCAGCCGCGGGCAAUACGUCCGCCGGGGUAUGGAUCGGAAACGGUCAUGCCUUCCUUUUUGAAAAGGAGUAUCAUCC